UAGUCGAGCGGGAUUGGUAACAAUACCAUGAGAGCGGCGCACGGGUGAGUAACGCGUACACGACCUACCUCUAACAGGGGGAUAGCCCUGGGAAACUGGGAUUAAUACCGCAUAUAAUUCUGAUUUAUAAAUAGUUGGAAUGAAAGUUCAGGCGGUUAGAGAUGGGUGUGCGUCUGAUUAGCUAGUUGGUGAGGUAACGGCUCACCAAGGCGAUGAUCAGUAGGGGGCGUGAGAGCGUGUCCCCCACACGGGUACUGAGACACGGACCCGACUCCUACGGGAGGCAGCAGUAAGGAAUAUUGGUCAAUGGGCGAAGGCCUGAACCAGCCAUCCAGCGUGCAGGAAGAAGGCCCUACGGGUUGUAAACUGCUUUUGCCAGGGAAGAAACCCUUGGAUUCACUCCGAGGCUGACGGUACCUGAAGAAUAAGCACCGGCUAACUCCGUGCCAGCAGCCCGCGGUAAUACGGAGGGUGCGAGCGUUAUCCGGAAUUACUGGGUUUAAAGGGUGCGUAGGCGGCUCGGUAAGUCGGGAGUGAAAGUUUGCGGCUCAACCCGUAAAAUUGCUUUUGAUACUGGCCGGCUAGAGUCAGGAUGAGGUCAGCAGAAUGUG
rnacentral:rRNA from 1 species